GAGGUUGAGGGCCGCGCGGCCUUGACGGCCGGCUCUUGUCGGCCGGCCGUGACGCCCGUUUCCCUCGCACGGAGGAGGCCAGGGGUUCGAGUCCCCUCACCUCACCA
rnacentral:tRNA from 1 species